rnacentral:rRNA from 1 species
UACGUAGGGGGCAAGUGUUGUCCGGAUUCAUUGGGCGUAAAGAGCGUGUAGGCGGCCAGGUAGGUCGGUUGUGAAAACUGGAGGCUCAACCUUCAGAGGUCGACCGAAACCAUCUGGCUAGAGUCCGGGAGAGGAGAGUGGAAUUCCUGGUGUAGCGGUGAAAUGCGCAGAUAUCAGGAAGAACACCCGUGGCGAAGGCGGCUCUCUGGAACGCAACUGACGCUGAGACGCGAAAGCGUGGGGAGCAAACAGG